rnacentral:rRNA from 1 species
CAGGAUUAGAUACCCUGGUAGUCCAGCCGUAAACGAUGAUUGCUAGUUGUCGGGAACCUUGCUGUCUGGGUGGCGCAGCUAACGCAUUAAGUUAUCCGCCUGGGGAGUACGGUCGCAAGAUUAAAACUCAAAGGAAUUGACGGGGGCCUGCACAAGCGGUGGAGCAUGUGGUUUAAUUCGAAGCAACGCGCAGAACCUUACCAGCCUUUGACAUCCCGCGCUAUCCAGAGAGAUUUGGMGUUUCCUUCGGGACKMGGWSACAGGUGCUGCAUGGCUGUCGUCAGCU